rnacentral:tRNA from 1 species
UGUAGCUCAGUGGUAGAGUCCUUGCCUGGCAUGCAGAAGGCCCUGGGUUGGAUCCCCAGCA